UAUUACGUGCCACCGUUAAUAUUACCGUUUAAUUUCUAAUUGUUUCAAUAAUAAAAAAUACAUAAUUAUUAUAAUAUUUAUUAUAGUGUAGUGUGUUUGUGCUCUAAAUUAUCAUUAUUAUUUUAUUUUUUUAAGUUAAUUAUUGUAAAGUAAAUAUAUAAUAUAUGAGAGUAAAUUAAAUAAAUUAAUUAAAAUGAAGUUAAAGAAUUAAUUAUUUAAAAAUUUAUUAUUGCAAAAAAAAGAAAAAUGUAUUAUAAAGUGAAGUUUAAUAACAAAAUUGAAUUUACAAAAUAUUUGAUUUACUCGAAAGUGAAAUAUUGAGAAAAAAAUAAGAAGAGAUAAAAAAAGUAAGAAAAUUGUGUUAAAAAAAAAAAUUAAAAUAAAAAUAAACAAAAUGAAAUAAUAAAGAAAAUAACAAAUGGAUAAUAAAAAAAGUUAUUAAAAACUAUCGGAAUAAAUUAGGAAUAUAAAUAAAAGAGCGAGCAAAAAAAUAAACAAAAAAAAAAAAUUCCAAAAAAAAAACGCAAAAUCUGAAAAUUUUUUUGUUAUAAAUUUAAAAAAUACAAAAAACAUGAAACAAAAACAAGCACAAAUAUAGGAAACAACAAUAUGUCAGAUUUUCAUUUAACAAAUGAAACAUAACAUAAAUAUAUAGAAGAACAAAGACAACAAACUGUAAUAAUUUCGAAUAAAAGAACAAUACAAAAAUAGUGAGUGAAAAAUAUUUAAAAAAAAAAAAACAAAAUCAUUAAUAAAUAGGAAAAAGGGAAAUAUAAAAAUUAAAAAAAAAAAAUUACAAAAAUUUCUUAAAAAUUAUCACAAAAAAAAUUAUUAUAACAGUUAAAAUAAAUAAUAAAAUGUUAAAAAAAAAAUGCUGCAACAACUAUAAAUACGAACAGUAAUAAAUAUUUUGCAAUGUAAGAGAGAAAACUAUAUGAAAACUAUAUAAUGCAAAUAAUAAUAAAUUUUAAGUGGGAACAAAGAACAAAAAAAAUAGAAGGAGAAAGAAUUGGAACGACAGUGUUAUACUGUUAAAAUUAAUCUACUGAGUUCAAUUUAAGAUGAAAAGAAAAAAUUUUGAUAGCAUACUAUGCUAUUCAGUUGAAUAUCAUCAGUACUGUUAUUUUUUUUACUCUGUUCCAAAUUUUUAACAGAGUUUCUACCAGUAAACUUUAACAAUUGAAUUUUGUUAUUGCAGAAAACAAGAAAAAAAAAUUAAAUGUGAAGAAAACGAAUUUUAAAAACUUUUCUGCUUUGUUUUUUUUUUACCCUUUAUGACAUACUCGUAAAAUAUCCUAUAUGAAGAGAAUAAAUGCAAAUAAGAGGGGAUUGUAAUUCUGCGCAUAUAACAAUUAAAUUUGAAUAUGCAUAUGCAUUUUUAGUAAAACGAAAACAGAAUGAACAACAUAAUCUACCUAGAUAUUUAUAAAGAAUAUUGGAAUGCCAGGGAAAAAAAUGAGUACAAUUUCAGUACAAUAAACUUACAUACACAUGUAUUAUGUUAAAAUUGUUGAAAAACAUGUUGCUUGUUCUUUUGUAAUGAAAAACAAAAAGUAAAAUGUACUAAAAUAAAAUGCUUAACAAUAUUCGCGCGCGAUAUUCCACAAUAUUAUUUUUAUACGGGCGUAAAAAAGUUAAUUUUUACAUUACAAAUAAAAAACAUAUAACAAAAAUGAAUACAUUAUAAUGAAAACAUUAUAUGUAUGUAAUAACAUAAAAAAAAAAAACUAAUAAUGAAACAAAAAAUAAUAUUAAUGUUCAAAAAUGAACCCAAAAAUAUUUUAUCAAAAUAAA